rnacentral:rRNA from 2 species
GGGUUGUGAGGUUAAGCGACUAAGCGUACACGGUGGAUGCCCUGGCAGUCAGAGGCGAUGAAGGGCGUGCUAAUCUGCGAUAAGCGCCGGUAAGGUGAUAUGAACCGUUAUAACCGGCGAUACCCGAAUGGGGAAACCCAGUGUGACUCGUCACACUAUCAUUAACUGAAUCCAUAGGUUAAUGAGGCGAACCGGGGGAACUGAAACAUCUAAGUACCCCGAGGAAAAGAAAUCAACCGAGAUUCCCCCAGUAGCGGCGAGCGAACGGGGAGGAGCCCAGAGCCUGAAUCAGCAUGUGUGUUAGUGGAAGCGUCUGGAAAGGCGCGCGAUACAGGGUGACAGCCCCGUACACAAAAGCGCAUGUGCUGUGAGCUCGAUGAGUAGGGCGGGACACGUGGUAUCCUGUCUGAAUAUGGGGGGACCAUCCUCCAAGGCUAAAUACUCCUGACUGACCGAUAGUGAACCAGUACCGUGAGGGAAAGGCGAAAAGAACCCCGGCGAGGGGAGUGAAAAAGAACCUGAAACCGUGUACGUACAAGCAGUGGGAGCCCCACCACCAAAGCAUUUGCUGUACCGCGUUGACGGAGCGAAGCGACGUCAAACCGAUAAAACAGCAGUGUA